GGUGUAGCCGCUAUGGAGAAACUUCCAAC
rnacentral:piRNA from 1 species